AUUUGAGGAUUGAGCGAGGUAUGAUUUAAGAUUCGAAGUUUAAUUUUUUAUUAAAUUGAGUUCGUUUCGAGGACGAAACUCCUUUUAAGGAGAGGAGAAUGUAGGAUACCGAACUUCUGAAAAUAAGAAGUUACGGUAGGAUAUAGUAUAUCGGAAUUUAUUAUAAAAGUAAAUAUAAAUAAAAAUAGUGUGGAAAACUAUUUUUAUUGGCCUUAUGGAAGUAAAGUAAAAGUUGAAAGUGACCUGUGCUGAAAUCGGAGCGAAAACAGGAGAUUUAGAAUUUUCUGUGAGAAACGGGGCAGAUAGAUUAGCAGAAAAUGCACAGUGUCAGAAAAUUAUGAAAACUGGAGGAUGGGUCAGAAUUAUUUUUAUGAGGCUGGAAUUAAAGUUUCAGCCCAUUCUGACAUCCGGAAG
rnacentral:lncRNA from 1 species